UCUCUUGAAUGUAAUGGUAAGAGCUGCAGGAGUGCCAGGUGUGUGUUCCAGUCCCCAGCAUUUGGUUUGCACUUGUCCUGGUCAGACACAGGUCCAACUUCCUCAGGCCUUAACCCAGUAGAGGGAGAAUUAAGGACUGGCAGUGUUAAGGUGAUUGGUGUGACAGGGGUUAAACUGGGAAAACAUUGGGGAAUUCCUGAUUUGUCUGUUUGCCAAACUCACCCAAACCUCUGCUAGGAAGAGAUGGACUGGAAAAGUUGAGGCAGCAAUGAAAUGGAAAACUGGGGAUAUUGAAACUGUAAUUGCUGAAACUAAAUGUGUCCAAGCAGCAGCUCUUGUUGUGCAGGGAAUAACUCCUGUCAGCAGCAAGGUCCUGACUGAAGUGGCAGCUGCAGUUGUUCCUGUGGUGUGGGCCUGUGGAAUUGCAGGAGAGUGGAAGAGGGCAGAACCUGACGUGAAUGCAAGAACCUGCCAGGA